rnacentral:piRNA from 1 species
UNUAGCGUGCGUACCCUAGAGAAAUCCUGGGC